rnacentral:piRNA from 1 species
UAGGCAGAAGAGACUGUAGCCUGAUC